UACAGAGGGUGCGAGCGUUAAUCGGAAUUACUGGGCGUAAAGCGUGCGCAGGCGGUUUUGUAAGCCAGAUGUGAAAGCCCCGGGCUUAACCUGGGAAUGGCAUUUGGGACUGCAAGGCUUGAGUGCGGCAGAGGAGACUGGAAUUCCUGGUGUAGCAGUGAAAUGCGUAGAUAUCAGGAGGAAUACCGAUGGCGAAGGCAGGUCUCUGGGCUGACACUGACGCUCAUGCACGAAAGCGUGGGGAGCGAAACAAGGAUUGAUGAAACC
rnacentral:rRNA from 1 species